AGAGUUUGAUCAUGGCUCAGAUUGAACGCUGGCGGCAUGCCUUACACAUGCAAGUCGAACGGUAACAGGUUAAGCUGACGAGUGGCGAACGGGUGAGUAAUGUAUCGGAACGUGCCCAGUCGUGGGGGAUAACUACUCGAAAGAGUGGCUAAUACCGCAUACGACCUGAGGGUGAAAGCGGGGGACCGUAAGGCCUCGCGCGAUUGGAGCGGCCGAUAUCAGAUUAGCUAGUUGGUGGGGUAAAAGCCCACCAAGGCGACGAUCUGUAGCUGGUCUGAGAGGACGACCAGCCACACUGGGACUGAGACACGGCCCAGACUCCUACGGGAGGCAGCAGUGGGGAAUUUUGGACAAUGGACUCAAGUCUG
rnacentral:rRNA from 1 species